UCCUGGUUAACCCAGGCAGUCUCACUAGAGUUCCCACCUUAAAUGUUGGCAACUAGUGAUAAGGGUUGCGCUCGUUGCUGGACUUAACCAAACACCUCACGGCACGAGCUGACGACAGCCAUGCAGCACCUGUGCAGAUGCCCCGAAAGGAAAUAGUAUUUCUACUAUCGUCAUCUGCAUGUCAAGCCUGGGUAAGGUUCUUCGCGUUGCAUCGAAUUAAACCACAUGCUCCACUGCUUGUGCGGGUCCCCGUCAAUUCUUUUGAGUUUCACCCUUGCGAGCGUACUCCUCAGGCGGUAUACUUAUCGCGUUAGCUACGGCACAACCAGGGUUGAGUCCGGUUACACCAAGUAUACAUCGUUUACGGCAAGGACUAC
rnacentral:misc_RNA from 1 species